UACGUAGGGUGCAAGCGUUGUCCGGAAUUAUUGGGCGUAAAGGGCUCGUAGGCGGUUUGUCGCGUCGGGAGUGAAAACUCAGGGCUUAACCCUGAGCCUGCUUCCGAUACGGGCAGACUAGAGGUAUGCAGGGGAGAAUGGAAUUCCUGGUGUAGCGGUGAAAUGCGCAGAUAUCAGGAGGAACACCGGUGGCGAAGGCGGGUCUCUGGGCCGAUAUUGACGCUGAGGAGCGAAAGCGUGGGGAGCAAACAGG
rnacentral:rRNA from 1 species